UACGGGGGGGUAAGCGUUGUUCGGAAUUACUGGGCGUAAAGGGCUCGUAGGCGGCCAACUAAGUCGGACGUGAAAUCCCUCAGCUUAACUGGGGAACUGCGUCCGAUACUGGAUGGCUUGGAUUUGGGAGAGGGAUGCGGAAUUCCAGGUGUAGCGGUGAAAUGCGUAGAUAUCUGGAGGAACACCGGUGGCGAAGGCGGCAUCCUGGACCAAUAUUGACGCUGGAGGAGCGAAAGCCAG
rnacentral:rRNA from 1 species